UCAUCAUUUAUUCUAAAAGCUCUACCCUCGUCAAAUCAAACCUCUCUAUAUAUAAAUCAUGGAUCCAUGGCAUCAGAAACCGAUGGACCACAAAUUGUAAAAUCAUCUUCUUUAAGGUGGUAGACACUACAGAGGCUAAGGAGCUAAGGUCUGGUGCUCGACUACCAGAGCUAGCUCCUACUGCGUAAAUGGAGAUGUGGCCCACAGUCUCUGAGCUUUGAUGACAUCAAGCAUUUGGACACUACUGUAAGCUUGUUGCAGACUUCGAUGUGGGGUCCUUAGGCUCAGUUCCCCAUGCUUGCUCAAGAGCUAUGGCCAUGGAUGAUGGACCCUUGCCCCUUCGAAAGGUGUGGCCAUGCUUGUUUUGUGUUCUUCUUUCUUCCUCCAAGAGAAGAGAGGGUAGGCAAGGGAGUUAUGCUUCUUUUCUUUUUAUUUUUUUUUUCUUUUUUUUGUUACAGAGAGCAAUGAAAAUGUUUUUUGAAAUUAAAGUUGUGUAUUUUGACCACUUUUCUAUUAUUUAGUUUGAAAUAGUUAGGUUUGAAGUUUCAAUCACCAUAUUAAAACAAAAUCAAUUAUGAACUCAAUUAUAUAUGUAUAAUUAAUUUAUUAAUUUAUUUAUAUCUAUUCAUCAAAUCAAUCAAGCUGAUUUGAUUGACUCUAUGAUAAGAUCUUUAUUACA